GAUUUAUAAUUGGAACCCUAAAAUCGCACAUUGUUACAAAGAAAUUAAAUAGUAGAUCAACCCGUGUUUUUGUUCUGAUUAAUAUAAAGUUAUGUGGGCACAAUGUGUUGUGUUCUUUUUCGAUCCAGAUAAGUAAAUCCGUCAAAAUGGCGAAUCUGCAACAAAAAAGAAAACUAUGAAAGUGGUCUAGAAACAUGAGGCCUUUGCAAUGAAAAAAUAAGGUAUCAUUUUAAAGAGAAGAUGUUUGGCCCUUAAUUAAAAUCCGAGAAUCUCUGAAUGUGAACAUCCAAGUCAAACUUCAGAUCCCAAGAUAUUGCACCUUUUUAUUGUGUACAAGAAAACGUAAAAGUCACUUAAUACUGUUUUGUUCAAAAAUAAAAAAAAACCCUUUCCGAUUUGACGGUGGCUGAUAGCAUGAAAAUAUUUCUGCGAACCUUCCAAUGCUUUUCAUUCAUCUAAUACUUUGUUUUUACAACGAAAAAUGGAACAAAAAAGAAGCCAGACUAAUCGGCAAUCGGAAUAAUAGCAUUUUUAUAAACACCCCUUUAUAUACAUAACACAAUAUAUUAAAUUUCGACGACAAUAUAUUAUAUUUUUUUGCCUUAUUCGCUUAGUGGCUAUUCCAAAUGCUAGCGGACGGAGGUUUCGUCAAGACUAACCUUUCGCAGCAACGAAAACUGUGACCUAUUUAGACCCUCCUAAAGAUUAAAUUAAAAUUUUAGACCGUG